GAUGAACGCUAGCGGCAGGCCUAAUACAUGCAAGUCGAACGGUAACAGGUCCAGCAAUGGAUGCUGACGAGUGGCGCACGGGUUCGUAACGCGUAUGCAAUCUACCUUUAACUGGUGAAUAGCCCGAAGAAAUUCGGAUUAACACACCAUAGUAUAUUAGAGUAGCAUUACUCAAAUAUUAAAACUCCGGUGGUUAAAGAUGAGCAUGCGUGACAUUAGCUAGUUGGUGAGGUAAUGGCUCACCAAGGCAACGAUGUCUAGGGGAUCUGAGAGGAUUAGCCCCCACCCAUGUACUGAGAAGCGGACCUGAGUCCUACGGGAGGCAGCCGUAAGGAAUAUUGGACGAUGGUCGCAAGACUGAUCCAGCCAUGCCGCGUGAAGGAUGACUGCCCUAUGGGUUGUAAACUUCUUUUGUAUGGGAAAAAACCUCUCUACGUGUAGAGAGCUGAUGGUACCAUAAGAAUAAGGAUCGGCUAACUCCGUGCCAGCCGCCGCGGUAAGAC
rnacentral:rRNA from 1 species